rnacentral:rRNA from 1 species
GUGCCAGCAGCCGCGGUAAUACGUAGGUGGCAAGCGUUGUCCGGAAUUAUUGGGCGUAAAGCGCGCGCAGGCGGUCCCUUAAGUCUGAUGUGAAAUCCCACGGCUCAACCGUGGAAGGUCAUUGGAAACUGGGGGACUUGAGUACAGAAGAGGAAAGCGGAAUUCCAAGUGUAGCGGUGAAAUGCGUAGAGAUUUGGAGGAACACCAGUGGCGAAGGCGGCUUUCUGGUCUGUAACUGACGCUGAGGCGCGAAAGCGUGGGGAGCAAACAGGAUUAGAUACCCUGGUAGUCC